UUAGUAGCGGCGAGUGAAGCGGCAAAAGCUCAAAUUUGAAAUCUGGCACUUUCAGUGUCCGAGUUGUAAUUUGAAGAAGGUAUCUUUGGGUCUGGCUCUUGUCUAUGUUUCUUGGAACAGAACGUCACAGAGGGUGAGAAUCCCGUGCGAUGAGAUGUCCCAGACCUAUGUAAAGUUCCUUCGAAGAGUCGAGUUGUUUGGGAAUGCAGCUCUAAGUGGGUGGUAAAUUCCAUCUAAAGCUAAAUAUUGGCGAGAGACCGAUAGCGAACAAGUACAGUGAUGGAAAGAUGAAAAGAACUUUGAAAAGAGAGUGAAAAAGUACGUGAAAUUGUUGAAAGGGAAGGGCUUGAGAUCAGACUUGGUAUUUUGUAUGUUACUCUCUCGGGGGUGGCCUCUACAGUUUACCGGGCCAGCAUCAGUUUGAGCGGUAGGAUAAGUGCAAAGAAAUGUGGCGCUGCUUCGGUAGUGUGUUAUAGUCUUUGUCGAUACUGCC
rnacentral:rRNA from 1 species